UACGAAGGGGGCGAGCGUUGUUCGGAAUCACUGGGCGUAAAGCGUGCGUAGGCGGCGAUGAAAGUUAGGAGUGAAAGCCCAGGGCUCAACCUUGGAAUUGCUCUUAAAACUCCAUCGCUCGAAUCUCGGAGAGGAUAGCGGAAUUGUCAGUGUAGCAGUGAAAUGCGUAGAUAUUGACAGGAACACCAGUGGCGUAAGCGGCUAUCUGGACGAGUAUUGACGCUGAGGCACGAAAGCGUGGGGAUCAAACAGG
rnacentral:rRNA from 1 species